UAUUAUUGAUUUAUAAAAUAAAAAUAUUCUAGAUUAUUAAAUAAAUAAAAAUAAAAAUUAAAUAAAUUGGCGGCAUUUUAAAAAAUUAGAGGAAUUUGUUUAGUAAUAGAUAAUACACUAUAAAUUUUACUUAUUUUAUUAAUUUGUAUAUCGUUAUCAUAAAAUAAUAUUUAAAAAUUUAUUUUUAAUAUUUUUAAUAAAAAAAAAUGUUAAAUCAUGAUGCAGUUUAUAAAUAAGAUUGUAAUGAAUUACAAUUAAAUUAAUUAUUCGAAUUUUAACAUAAAAUGUUAUUUUAAAGUUGGAUUUAAUAGUAAAUUAAUUAAUAUAAAUUAAUUUAAAAAAAUUUAAAAUGCGCACAUAUUGCCCGUCGCUUUUAUAAAUUAAUAAAAUAA
rnacentral:rRNA from 1 species